GAUGAACGCUGGCGGCGUGCCUAAUACAUGCCAGUCGAGCGAACGGGCGAGGAGCUUUCUCCCCUGACGUUAGCGGGGGACGGGUGAGUAACGCGUGCAUAAGCUACUUAUUUUACUGGGAUAAUUUCGGGAAACCGGUGCUAAUACUGGAGCAUAUAUUCUACGGGUUGGUUCAAUAGUUAAUGGCGGUUUUUCUGUCUCUUAGAGAUGGUUCCGCGUCGCAUUAGCUAGUUGGUAAGGUAACGGCUUACCAAGGCAACGAUGCGUAGCCGACCUGAGAGGGUGAUCGGCCACACUGGAACUGAGACACGGUCCAGACUCCUACGGGAGGCAGCAGUAGGGAAUAUUCCACAAUGGGCGAAAGCCUGACGCAGCCACGCCGCGUGAGUGAAGAAGGUCUUCGGAUCGUAAAACUCUUUUAUUAGGAAAGAAAAAAUGUAUAAGUAACUAUGCACGUCUUGACGGUACCUAAACAGAAAGCCACGGCUAACUACGUG
rnacentral:rRNA from 1 species